rnacentral:tRNA from 1 species
UUCUUGGUGGUCUAGUGGUUAAGAUUUAGCACUCUCAAUGCCGUGGUCCAGGUUCAUUCUUGGUCAGGGAA